CGCACCUUGCGCUCCUUGGUAUUCCGAGGAGCAUGCCUGUUUGAGUGUCUUGAAAUCAUCAAGCCCCGGAUUCGCGUCCGGAGGCUUGGACUUGGGGGUUAUUUGCUGCCUUUUCAGCGGCUCCCCUUAAAUGCAUCGGUUGCGGCCCGUCCGGCUUCAGUCCUCGGCGUUGUAUUGCCCUCGCCCCGCGUCUUGUCGGCAGCGCCCUUCCCCGACCGCCUUUGGAGCGGCGGUCAACAUUUUUUGAAAUCUGACCUCAAAUCAGGUAGGACUACCCGCUGAACUUAA
rnacentral:misc_RNA from 1 species